GACGUAGGGCGCGAGCGUUAUCCGGAUUUAUUGGGCGUAAAGAGCUCGUAGGCGGUUUGUUGCGUCGGCUGUGAAAUCCCGAGGCUCAACCUCGGGUCUGCAGUCGAUACGAGCAAACUAGAGUGUUGCAGGGGAGACUGGAAUUCCUGGUGUAGCGGUGAAAUGCGCAGAUAUCAGGAGGAACACCGGUGGCGAAGGCGGGUCUCUGGGCAACAACUGACGCUGAGGAGCGAAAGCGUGGGGAGCGAACAGG
rnacentral:rRNA from 1 species